rnacentral:snRNA from 1 species
AAAAAGGGUCGGUUGGGUAAAUAUGCCACUCGCCCGAGAGGUGAGUGCCGUAUGGAUAUCAAGACAUACGGCCGACAUAAUUUGUGGAAUUUUCAUAGGGUUGGCUAGCUGGCCAACCCUCCA